rnacentral:rRNA from 1 species
GAUGAACGCUGGCGGCGUGCCUAAUACAUGCAAGUCGAACGAAACUUCUUUAUCACCGAGUGCUUGCACUCACCGAUAAAGAGUUGAGUGGCGAACGGGUGAGUAACACGUGGGCAACCUGCCCAAAAGAGGGGGAUAACACUUGGAAACAGGUGCUAAUACCGCAUAACCAUAGUUACCGCAUGGUAACUAUGUAAAAGGUGGCUAUACUACCGCUUUUGGAUGGGCCCGCGGCGCAUUAGCUAGUUGGUAGGGUAAAGGCUUACCAAGGCAAUGAUGCGUAGCCGAAUUGAGAGGUUGAUCGGCCACAUUGGGACUGAGACACGGCCCAAACUCCUACGGGAGGCAGCAGUAGGGAAUCUUCCACAAUGGGCGAAAGCCUGAUGGAGCAACGCCGCGUGGGUGAAGAAGGUCUUCGGAUCGUAAAACCCUGUUGUUGGAGAAGAAAGUGCGUGAGAGCAACUGUUCACGUUUCGACGGUAUCUAACCAGAAAGCCACGGCUAACUACGUG